UGCCUCUGGGUUGGUGAACACAUCAGAUGCUGGGCAGGUGGUGUGUUGCCUCCCUCCAUACCAUGCAUCUCUUCCCUUUGGCUGAUCCUGAGGUGUAUCCCUUAGAAAUAAGCUGGUAAAUAAUAAUGCUGUGUGCUCCCUCUUUGCCUGCUACUGAACAAUGACGUCUCUUGUUGUGAACCCCACUGGCAGAGCACGGACCAUGGAAGCAUCUUUUGGCAGCACCAGAGAACUGAGCAUCUCAAAGCAUGAGUUCUUCUGUUUCUUCUGCGUGGGUUGACCAUGGGCAUCAGGCAUCAGAGAUACAACUCUGGAUCUUGUCCAUCCAUUGCUGGGCACUCUGUCCAUCCUGGGCGCAGAAGUUAUACACACGUUUGCUGGUCUUGAGCUACAAAACCAAAUGACAGUGAACCAGAGAUGAAGGGCAGGGCUGUUUUAUGGAUUUGGGAGUCUACUGCUAAGAUUUCAGCAUGUCCUGUGGCUGAGUUAAUCAGAGUUAUGACAGGAAGGUACCGGGCACACCAUCGCAAUGCUCCAUCAAUGCUAGUAUGUUGUGUUCUUUCCUUCAUAUCAAGUCAACUCAAGCUUGCUCUACUUACCUGGUGUACACAGUCUAAGAACUGUAAGAAGACUGGAGC
rnacentral:lncRNA from 10 species